rnacentral:rRNA from 1 species
CGUGUAGGCGGCCGACUAAGUCUGAUGUGAAAUACCCGCUUUUAAGGUUGGUCGUGCAUUGGAAACUGGAUGGCUAGAGUGCGGAAGAGGUAAGUGGAAUUCCCAGUGUAGCGGUGAAAUGCGUAGAGAUUGGGAGGAACACCAGUGGCGAAGGCGACUUACUGGGCCGCAACUGACGCUGAGGCGCGAAAGCGUGGGGAGCAAACA